AACAUCACAGUAAUCCACACCACUCCAGUCCAUCAAUUUACGCCUUGUGAAGUGAAAAGGUAUGCGCUUGUAAGAAACUAAUCCACCAGCAGGGCAUUUUAACUUUAAAUCAUCACUUCUGGCCCAAAUAUGAUGCAAUAAUCAAUAA